rnacentral:rRNA from 1 species
ACGCUGGCGGCGUGCCUAACACAUGCAAGUCGAGCGAUCUUCUUCGGAAGAGAGCGGCGGACGGGUGAGUAACGCGUGGGUAACCUGCCCUGUACACACGGAUAACAUACCGAAAGGUAUGCUAAUACGGGAUAACAUAAGAGAGUCGCAUGGCUAUCUUAUCAAAGCUUUUGCGGUACAGGAUGGACCCGCGUCUGAUUAGCUAGUUGGUAAGGUAACGGCUUACCAAGGCGACGAUUAGUAGCCGACCUGAGAGGGUGAUCGGCCACAUUGGAACUGAGACACGGUCCAAACUCCUACGGGAGGCAGCAGUGGGGAAUAUUGCACAAUGGGCGAAAGCCUGAUGCAGCAACGCCGCGUGAGCGAUGAAGGCCUUCGGGUCGUAAAGCUCUGUCCUCAAGGAAGAUAAUGACGGUACUUGAGGAGGAAGCCCCGGCUAACUACGUGCCAGCAGCCGCGGUAAUACGUAGGGGGCUAGCGUUAUCCGGAAUUACUGGGCGUAAAGGGUGCGUGGGCGGUCUUUCAAGUCAGAAGUGAAAGGCUACGGCUCAACCGUAGUAAGCUUUUGAAACUGUAAGACUUGAGUGCAGGAGAGGAGAGUGGAAUUCCUAGUGUAGCGGUGAAAUGCGUAGAUAUUAGGAGGAACACCAGUUGCGAAGGCGGCUCUCUGGACUGUAACUGACGCUGAGGCACGAAAGCG